AGGAUCCCCAAGGCAGAAAGGAGGCUCUGCCCAGCCCAGGUGCUGCCUCUUUUCCCUGGCAGCCUCAGCGCCACCCCCAUCCCCUGGCUGCUGUGAGGGAGAGUUUUUCUAAUGGAUCAUAGCUGGUUCGUUCAUUCCAUCUCACUGCGUGCCAGGCCGCUGCUGCUGGGAAGCCAAGCCGUCACUGAAGAUGCAGGCUGAGGGCCUCACAUCCAGGGCUGUCUGGGGGCAGCUGGGCGCUGGCAGACUGGUUUAUUCAGGAAUAAAAUGCUGGAGAAGCUGUGGUGAAACUGAAGGCCCCAUGCAGUGAUGGGACUUGGCCAGGGUCCUAUUGCAAUUUCCCUGCCUGGCCUUCAUGAGAUCUGCUCACCGCCUGCUCAGUGUCCUCUCUGGGAAGUUAUGCAGCUGGAAGGAGGCCUCUGGGAUAAAAUAAUUACAGAGAAAACAGAUGGGCGGCUGAGCAAUCCUCCCCUCCUCAGUGUGCCUGAGAAUCCUUCUGUCUGGCCCCAGGGCCAGAAGGGGGUGCUGUUCCAAAGGGAGCUGGUUACCACCUUCUGGGAAAGGGGCGCUGGACAAUCCUGCCUUAGCCAUCCCUUCUGCAUCCUCUCGGGAGCCUUUUUGUGCACCAUUUUCACCAGAGGUAUCGUCAUCAAGGCUCACUCUCGUCUCCCAUAGGGUCCUGCUAAAGAACCGAACAUCGACUGUCCCAAGGAAGGGCCUGUCCGUGGUAGAUGCAAGAGCCUUACCUUGCCCUUGGUGGAGGAGGAGAAAAAGGGAAGAGGGACUCACAAGAAUGAAAUCUUUUCCCUCCAUGUUCCCACCUUUCAGAAGUCCAGGAGGGAGAAGAGGGUCCCAGCUAUGCAAUUCUCUGAUGCCUAGGCCUUGGCACACUUCAGCCUGACUCUGACUUUCCCCAUGCCCUGCUCCCUCUCUGUGUCCCCACAACUGACCACUCUCCCUCAGCCUCCUCUUUUAUGACCCCCCAGGCUUGCUUGCGCUCCGUACCCCCAAGAGCUCAGGAGGCUCCCACUUUUGGAAGGCAAGCCCCUCCCCAACUUUAUCACACCUCCUGCCUCCAGAACUGUCCACCACAGACUUGCCUGUCUCUCAAGCCUGCCUCCUCUGGCUACCGCUACCUGAAUGCUGCCCCACCCCCUUUUUUCCUUAGGUCUAAGCAGGCUGGGUUCUGCAACAUCAGGCCCUCCCGGCUUCCCUCAGUUUCACUGGGUUGCCCUUUAGUGAGAGCAAUCUCUCAUUUGAUUGUUUUUCUUUCAUUGCAUCCCUCUCAGCCUGAGUGCAUUCCCCCUUAGCCCAAUGGGAAGCUGCUGUUUUCCAUCUAGAUUUCCCUUCUCUCCUUCUGCUGGGUCUCCUUUCCUGGCUCCGCACAGGCUUUUCCUUCUCCAGGAAGCUCGCCCUCUAGCCCGGGCUGCGGGAGCUGCCCUCCCUCCCUGCCAUGUCCUUUCCAGCCUACAGAGCUGGUGUCUGUUUCCUGGGGGUCCUUCCUAGCCCGGUUGGAGCUUUGCAGGCUGCAGGGAUGCUCAGUGGAUCCUUGGGGAAUCAGUGGGUGGAAAAGUGGCAAAUGACAGGAUCCCCUGCGGAAUUGCCAGGCCUGUUCUCUUUCCUCUACCAUCAGGGCUUUUCACACUGAGCAUUUAAUAAAGUGCCACGAACAGCUCAUGUUCAGCUGCUCAGUGGGUCCAACUUUCCCAGGCCUGGCUCCUGGGACCAGAGCAGAAGAAGUAGACCUCAUGAAGAAAAAGCAGGAAGGACCUGAGUGCCCGGUCUGGGCCCAGGAGGAACACAGAGUCUCCUCUGCAGCUUCCUGUGCAAUGAAACCAAGGGGGAAGAGCAGGGGUCUGUGUGUGUGUGUGUGUGUGUGUGUGUGUGUGUGUGUGUGUGUGAAAUCUUCUGUUGCAAAGACAGUUAUGUGCCGACCACCUCCCUCCCUGAAUGUCCCUCUAGCCCAGGCCUAGAACGUUGUCUCACCCCACCUCCCAGGCUCAGCAGGAGCGGCUGUAUAGCCUGCCGCAGGGAAGCCUUGCUCCACAGUUCACUUUGAUUUAUUCUCAAAGACAGGGAGUCCUAGAUCGUUGCCCGCUGUCACCAAGUACAUCCGAAAGACAAAGACAGGAAGAACCAGCCUACAGAAGGAGGUGACUAUGGAGCACUGGAAGCUUCCAACCUGUCCUUAAUAAGGGAUUUCAGAGGCUGUAGCCAUUGCCCCCAGAAACCAGCCCAGUGCCUGGCUCUAGAGUCAGUCUGCCAGACAUAGCCGGCAUAAA